rnacentral:rRNA from 1 species
GAGGAAUAUUGCGCAAUGGGGGAAACCCUGACGCAGCAACGCCGCGUGGGUGAAGAAGGCCUUCGGGUUGUAAAGCCCUGUCAGGUGCGAAGAAACCUCCACAGGUGAAUAGUCUGUGGAGCUGACGGUAGCACCGGAGGAAGCACCGGCUAACUCCGUGCCAGCAGCCGCGGUAAGACGGAGGGUGCAAACGUUGUUCGGAAUCACUGGGCGUAAAGCGCGUGUAGGCGGUCCGAGAAGUCGAGUGUGAAAGCCCGAGGCUCAACCUCGGAAGCGCACUCGAAACUGGCGGACUUGAGUACGGGAGAGGGAAGUGGAAUUCCUGGUGUAGAGGUGAAAUUCGUAGAUAUCAGGAGGAACACCGGUGGCGAAGGCGGCUUCCUGGACCGAUACUGACGCUGAGACGCGAAAGCGUGGGGAGCAAAC